AGAUGUGUGAGCACAUCUCGGAAGAGGAAGCCGGCCUGGUUGUGCAAUGAUGUCUGGCAGCCAGUGUGUGGAGCCCCUCAUCCUGCAUCCUGUGGGUGUGUGCACGCGCCUUCUGGGAGGAAGAGAAAUCUCCAUUUAUCCAAAUGCAGUCAUGCCAUCAUCUUCUGGCACCAUCACCGUAACUCUCCAGACCCCGAAUUCCGGCCUGAAUUUCUUGCGACUCCAUUUCCUGUAGAACCACUGGUCCCAGCUCUCGUGCCCAGCAACAGAGCCCUCCUUAAGUGGGCGCUGCUUCUCCUUGCAGCCUGCUUGCCUGCUCACAGUGCACUGGCAACGCGGCUGUCCGAGAUUUCAUCCCGUGAGCUCUUCACUCACCUCAUGACCUCUCUUGAAGUUUCCAUUAAACCAAGUGUUAAUUGGACACACCCAGGACAAAAAUGGUGACAGCUCAGAUCGACAGUCCACAGAAAGCAAUGAAAAGCUUCAGGCACCAAAACUCAGAAUGUCUCUUUAUUUCACGCGAGUGCAGUAGAUCUGUUGUUACCACACACAACAUCCUGAAUCACGGAGAUUCAUGGACAUGAGCGGGCCGCUCCUGUGGAGUGCACACGUUGUUGUGUGCUGGGUGCGCCGAUUUUCGCUCUGCAGUAGUCUCAGUUCAUCUGUUCACAGAGGCCUUGCCUCCUGUCCAAAGGCACCCACUUGGGGAUUUACAAAUACAGUAAGUCCCUUACUUAUGAAUAAAUUCUGUUCUGAGAGAAUGUGUAU
rnacentral:lncRNA from 1 species